rnacentral:lncRNA from 1 species
CUGAAGUCAGUGAAGUUGCUUGCUUUCCUAAACCAGAGUGUCUGGAUUCUGAACAACAGUUUGAAAUAGAAGUUUAACCAAAUAUUUACUAAUAUUUGCCUGAAGCACGUACUGAAUUUGGAUUUACAACUUAAGAAAUUAACUCCCUCAGUCAUGAAAGAAAAAUAAGACAACAACCAAACAGAAUUGCAACUGAAUGCUGGAUGACAGCAAAUCAUUUCUCACUUCUCUAACUGCUUUCUACCAGAUUCUUAUGAGUUACUUAUUUGCAUUUAUUUGGAGAUAGGUUGCUCCUUCUUUGCACUUUUGUCCCAGUGAGUCAGAAUGAGUCAGAACACAAGGACAAGAGAGGAACAUGAAGCUUCUCUGCAUAGGGUUUGAAGUGGAUGAGAGUUAUACGCCACCUACUCCUUUGUGGACACCUUACUGAGACAUCACAGAGAUGCUGCUCUCCCUGUCUGGAACAGCAUGGAAGUGAAUUUAAUCCUCACCAAAUGAUAAGGUUUCUUGAAGAAAGCUCUGAUGAGAUGUGGACUUACAGAAAGCCACUAGGAAGACUGUCACAUUGCUGUAUUGACUGAAACAGCUACAGUCACAUAGCCCUGGUUACUGUAGAUAAAUCAAACAGCUUCUACGUUCACACAGUGCCAAGAAGAAGUACUAUGGUGAGGACUUUGCUAAAAAUUUUCCUACAAAUUACUGCACAACUUUCUCACAAAUCAAGAAUCUGUUUUCCUUAUAAAGUGAGAAUAUUAUU